rnacentral:lncRNA from 1 species
AGCGCUCUCUGUACCAGGUACCCUCCUCCCCCUCUACCACAUACGCACCAAUGGCAGCGCUCUCUGUACCAGGUACCCUCCUCCCCCUCUACCACAUACGCACCAAUGGCAGCGCUCUCUGUACCAGGUACCCUCCUCCCCCUCUACCACAUACGCACCAAUGGCAGCGCUCUCUGUACCAGGUACCCCUCCUCCCUCUACCACAUACGCACCAAUGGCAGCGCUCUCUGUACCAGGUACCCUCCUCCCCCUCUACCACAUACGCACCAAUGGCAGCGCUCUCUGUACCAGGUACCCUCCUCCCCCUCUACCA